GAGUUUGAUCAUGGCUCAGAUUGAACGCUGGCGGCAGGCCUAACACAUGCAAGUCGAGCGGCAGCACGGGUACUUGUACCUGGUGGCGAGCGGCGAACGGGUGAGUAAUGCCUAGGAAUCUGAAAAAAAAAAAAGGGAUAACGCUCGGAAACGGACGCUAAUACCGCAUACGUCCUACGGGAGAAAGCAGGGGACCUUCGGGCCAAAAAAUAUCAGAUGAGCCUAGGUCGGAUUAGCUAGUUGGUGAGGUAAUGGCUCACCAAGGCGACGAUCCGUAACUGGUCUGAGAGGAUGAUCCAGUCACACUGGAACUGAGACACGGUCCAGACUCCUACGGGAGGCAGCAGUGGGGAAUAUUGGACAAUGGGCGAAAGCCUGAUCCAGCCAUGCCGCGUGUGUGAAGAAGGUCUUCGGAUUGUAAAGCACUUUAAGGGGGGAGGAAGGGCAGUUACCUAAUACGUAUCUGUUUUGACGUGACCGACAGAAUAAGCACCGGCUAACUCUGUGCCAGCAGCCGCGGUAAAGGGCG
rnacentral:rRNA from 1 species